GCCAUAGCUCAAUGGUAGAGCAUCAGCUUUGCCUGCUCAAGGUCCUUACUUCAAUCUGACCUCAGUAUAUCCA